rnacentral:lncRNA from 1 species
UUUGUCCAAUUCUUCGUUCAAAAAGCCAAGAACCUGGACAGCUUGCCGUCACGACCCUCUAGUGGUAACACUGGGGGUUAGAAUCUCAACAAAGCUUUCGGAGGGGGCACGAUUCAACCCAUGACGCUUCAACCUGGAAUUUCCCACAGAAGUCAUUUUUUUCCUCAGAACUCUUUCUGAAAAUGCCCCCUCCCCACCCGCCCCACCCACCAUCCCUCAGACCUGGUGGCUGGAGCAGCUCCCUUUGGGAAAUGCUUCCUGUGGUGAACAGGAUGGAGCUCCCCAUGGGGACAGGGCCGUAGAGGAGGCCUCUAGGGCAGGAAGGGGAGUCCGGCGCCACCUGGGGCCCUGGCAAAGGAGGCGGCCGCAGAACGGGGACACAGGAGGGAGGAGGGUGGGGACCUGUUCAUCAAGCCCUCCCUUCCCAGGCCGUCCUGGGCCCAGGGGCUGCCUGGUGGCUUCAAAAUGCAGCCAGUGUGGGUUGGGCCGGGUUGGGUCCAGGAUGUCAAACUCCCAGGAACUCUGUCUGCCUCAUGACCUGGUGUGGAGGCCACCGCUGAGCAACGUCCAGUGUGUCCUGGUCACAUCUGGGCCCGCACCACCUCACAGGCUCCCGGUGCGAAGGAGUGGGCGGCCUUUUCAGAUUCGCCAGAGCUGGUUUGCGGAAGCUCCCAGAACAGACCACGGUCUGUAACAAGCUUACUUCCUGCCCAUGAAUUUUUCCCUCGACAGGGCUUACAAUUAAGUCCAUACCCCCGCCUCCCGCCUGGCUUUCACUUCCUUGCUUUUGGAGAGAAGAUGAAUGGAAAUGUAUGACUUUGUCUGUGGUAUAAAGACAUGGAUUCAAGUUCAGGGUUUGCCAUGGACCUGCCGUGUGACCUUUGGUGUGGGUUGGGCCGGGUUGGGUCCAGGAUGUCAAACUCCCAGGAACUCUGUCUGCCUCAUGACCUGGUGUGGAGGCCACCGCUGAGCAACGUCCAGUGUGUCCUGGUCACAUCUGGGCCCGCACCACCUCACAGGCUCCCGGUGCGAAGGAGUGGGCGGCCUUUUCAGAUUCGCCAGAGCUGGUUUGCGGAAGCUCCCAGAACAGACCACGGUCUGUAACAAGCUUACUUCCUGCCCAUGAAUUUUUCCCUCGACAGGGCUUACAAUUAAGUCCAUACCCCCGCCUCCCGCCUGGCUUUCACUUCCUUGCUU